GCCGGGUGCGGUGACACACGCCUGUAAUCCCAGUGGCUCUGGAGGCUGAGACAGGAGGAUCUCAAGUUCAAAGUCAGCCUCAGCAACUUAGUGAGGCAGGCACUAAGCAACUCAGUGAGACCCUGUCUCUA
rnacentral:sRNA from 1 species